CCUACGGGAGGCAGCAGUGGGGAAUAUUGCACAAUGGGGGAAACCCUGAUGCAGCGACGCCGCGUGAGUGAAGAAGUAAUUCGUUAUGUAAAGCUCUAUCAGCAGGGAAGAAAAUGACGGUACCUGAGUAAGAAGCCCCGGCUAACUACGUGCCAGCAGCCGCGGUAAUACGUAGGGGGCAAGCGUUAUCCGGAUUUACUGGGUGUAAAGGGAGCGUAGACGGCAGUGCAAGUCUGGAGUGAAAGGCGGGGGCUCAACCCCCGGACUGCUCUGGAAACGGUACGGCUGGAGUGCAGGAGCGGUAAGUGGCCUUCCUCGUGUCGCGCUGAAAUGCGUCGAUCUUAGGAGGACCCCCUGUGGCGCCGGCGGCUUACUGGACUGUACCUGCCGUUGAGGCUCG
rnacentral:rRNA from 1 species